rnacentral:rRNA from 1 species
GGCGCACGGGUGCGUAACGCGUAUGCAACCUACCUCUAACUGGGGGAUAGCCCUGGGAAACUGGGAUUAAUACCGCAUAGGAUAGUAGAGCUUCAUGGCUUAGCUAUUAAAGAUUUAUCGGUUAGAGAUGGGCAUGCGUGACAUUAGUUAGUUGGUGAGGUAACGGCUCACCAAGACUUCGAUGUCUAGGGGUUCUGAGAGGAUGAUCCCCCACGCUGGUACUGAGAUACGGACCAGACUCCUACGGGAGGCAGCAGUAGGGAAUAUUGGUCAAUGGACGCAAGUCUGAACCAGCCAUGCCGCGUGCAGGACGACGGCCCUCUGGGUUGUAAACUGCUUUUGUAUAGGAAGAAACGCUCCGACGUGUCGAGUUUAACGGUACUAUAAGAAUAAGGAUCGGCUAACUACGUGCCAGCAGCCGCGGUAAUACGUAGGAUCCAAGCGUUGUCCGGAUUUAUUGGGUUUAAAGGGUGCGCAGGCGGCCUAACAAGUCAGUGGUGAAAGCCUAUCGCUUAACGAUAGAAUUGCCAUUGAUACUGUUAGGCUUGAGUAUAGUUGAGGUUGGCGGAAUGUAUCAUGUAGCGGUGAAAUGCUUAGAUAUGAUACAGAACACCGAUUGCGAAGGCAGCUGACUAAGCUAUUACUGACGCUCAUGCACGAAAGCGUGGGGAUCAAACAGGAUUAGAUACCCUGGUAGUCCACGCCGUAAACGUUGAUAACUCGAUGUUGGCGAUAUACUGUCAGCGUCUUAGCGAAAGCGUUAAGUUAUCCACCUGGGGAGUACGCCGGCAACGGUGAAA